CUACGGGCGGCUGCAGUGGGGAAUAUUGCACAAUGGGCGCAAGCCUGAUGCAGCCAUGCCGCGUGUAUGAAGAAGGCCUUCGGGUUGUAAAGUACUCUCAGCGGGGAGGAAGGGAGUAAAGUUAAUACCUUUGCUCAUUGACGUUACCCGCAGAAGAAGCACCGGCGAACUCCGUGCCAGGCAGCCGCGGUAAUACGGAGGGUGCAAGCGUUAAUCGGAAUUACUGGGCGUAAAGCGCACGCAGGCGGUUUGUUAAGUCAGAUGUGAAAUCCCCGGGCUCAACCUGGGAACUGCAUCUGAUACUGGCAAGCUUGGGUCUCGUAGAGGGGGGUAGAAUUCCAGGUGUAGCGGUGAAAUGCGUAGAGAUCUGGAGGAAUACCGGUGGCGAAGGCGGCCCCCUGGACGAAGACUGACGCUCAGGUGCGAAAGCGUGGGGAGCAAACAGGAUUAGAUACCCCCGUAGUC
rnacentral:rRNA from 1 species